rnacentral:lncRNA from 1 species
GAACCACUCCGAUCUGGGGUAAGAAUGCUGGAUGAAAUUCUAGAUGAUCUGAAGCCUCACCACUGACUUGCUAUAAGAUUUGGGCCAAGCCAAUCUCACUGAGCUGCCAAUCAUCUGGAAAGAUGCGAGCACAGAGAGGCAAGAUUGCACAGUGGCCUCAUGCCGGACACCAGGCCCUGGACUCCAGAUUUUCCAGGAGCCUAGGGUGCUUUUCAUCUUCUCUCAUCCCUCACAGCAUCUUCUCUUACGGUGAUGAACUCAAGUUCACAGACUUCAUCUUUUGCAGCCCUCAGCACCCUGUGAGGAGUGAGGGGCGAGGGUAGGGCCUGGGUGCUCCGCUCCUAGCCCCCGUGUGACCGAAUUGCAGGAUUUCCCAGACAGCUGACAUGCAGGCAGCCAUGUGCCCCAGCUGGCUCCAGGGACUUGGGCCCAGCAGGCUCCUGGCGCCAACGUGGCCAGCUCCCGGGGCCCAGCUGGUCUCUGGAGGAGGAAAACAGAGACAAGCUGGUGCUCAAACAUUUACCAGCAAACCAGUGGCAUUCACCCAUUUUCCUCAAGGCAGAAGAGACACUAGUCUUGCUGGGAUACACUCAAGCAGAAUCUGGAAAGACUUCAGGUUGAGUAAAUGCUCAGAAAGGAGACAAAUUUGGAGUCCUUUCAAAUUUAUCUUCAUGACAAAGUUCUGAAAUGAUGCAUAGGGAACAUAUUUGCAUCCUUAGUAAUAAGACACUGGUAAGUACAUAACACUAAACAAUCACUAUCUCAGGUGUGAGAAUGAAGUCCACAGCUAGAAGGAGAGUUAGGCAGGUGACAAAUCCAAGGUGAAAAGGGCAGAAUCUCCUCCAUGAUGAGGAAAAGACCUAAGACUGGUCUCAAAUUUCAGUCACUGGGCUGGGUAAAAAAUGUGGAGGGGGCGAAUAUUUAGGGUAUGGGAUAAAUAAAUGAAAACAGGUUUGAAUUCUGACGAGGCAGUCUCAGAAAUCAAGAACUGAAUCCAGAACUAAGGCUCUGCUGUGGCCUGGGCUUCAGAAACAGUGCCCUAGUAGCCAGGAGGAAGAUGUCCUUGAAGAGACACAUUGCCCUAGUUCAGACGACGGGCCUUGCUAUUACGAGUGUUGACACUGUAGAUGUUUGAGGUGAGGGAUGCAGGAGUAUGGCUCCGGGAUGAGAAAAGUCAGGAGAGGAAGCAAGGAGUUAAUUAAGUGGAAGGGAAACAAAGAAGAAAAUCUACUAGAACCCGGGUCCGUUCAUAGAACCUGGGUCCGUUCAAACAUCGAGGCCUUUCUGAAAUUUGCUUCCCUCUGCUCCCACCGGCAUGGCAGAUGGGCAGCUGGAGGGUCUGAUACUCACACACCCAGGCCCACAGUGAGCCCAGAUCCUUUUCCAACUGACUCCACUUCGAUGCGUUUUCCUUCCUAGACUUAAUCUUUUCCUACAUCUGUUCUCUCUAAAAUACUCAUUCUAGGCUGGACAUAAUGGCUCACAGCUGUAAUCCUGGCACUGUGGGAGGCCUAGGCAGGAGAAUCACUUGGGCCCAGGAGUUUGAGACCAGUCUGGGCAACAUAGUGAGACCCCGUCUUUACAAAAAUAUUAGCUGGGCAUGGUGGCAUGUGCCUGUCGUUCAAGCUGCUCAAGAGACUGGGGCAAUAGGAUCACUUGAGCCCAAGAGGCUGAGGCUGCAGUGAGCCAUGAUUGCACCACUGCACUGCAGCCUGGGCAACAGAGCAAGAACCUGUUCCAAAACUAAGAUAAUAAAAUAAAGUAAACUCCUCAUUCUAGGGCAAAGAGUGUAACAUAUCAAUGAUUAUUUCUGGUUUUGUCACUAGUUCUCCCAAUCCCCCAUCCUAUUUAAGUUUUGGUAUCCAGAAGUUUUUCCUAACUGCUGUCCUGAGACCUUCCUACCAUAUGCAGCCGUUCUCUCCUACCUCACUCCCAGCGGAAGUUGAGGUUAGGUAUUCAGCACUCGAUAUAUAAUGUCCCUACUGCAUAUUCCACCGUGUUUAAUGACUUAUCCAUCGCCUUAUGUUCCUACACGUUUGUAAAUACCUCAGCUGCUGAAGACAGGAGGAAAGGGUAAAAUCAGCCUGCAAGAAACUCUGGAAGACUUUUUACUGGAUUCUCCUUUGAAUGGUACAUGUGGAGUUUCUCUUAAUGAGCUAAAUUGGUUUCAUUAUUUGUAAUUGGGCUGCAGGUAACUCCUUUAAAAGGCAGGUUAUUCCCCCAGAGAUGUGAGCAGAACACUCGUGGCCUGCCUGUGAGGCUCUGGAAUGCCCUGCGGGUCUCUCUGGUCCUGACUUGGAGUGCUUCAGGCUGAUGCUUCUGGAGCUCACAGCCUUUCAUUUGCAGACUAUACUUUUUCCUUCUUUCUUGCAAACCUCAUGCUUUCCUAUUACUUACCUCACUGUUAAAAAGAUGUGACAUAUUGUUGUCUGCUAACCUGGACGUACUUCAGAAACGCAUAGUUCUCUUCCCUCUCCUCUUUUUCUACACUCUAGUUAUAUUGUUAUUGUUUAGUACUUUUUUAUUCCAAAAUGCUUGGGAGCAAUGCAUAGCACCAACUGCGUGGACUCCUCUCUGCCAAUCUCUGCAGGAAACGCUCCAGAUUACAAACUGACACUCAGGCACCUCCGUGUACUUGGAACAUCUAAAGGAGCAAUAUGCAUAUGCUAUACUUAUAUACUUAUCACACACACACACAAGCCUGAAUCUGAGGAGUUCAAUAUGUUUUACAGAAAACACAAAACAAUCUUCAGCAAAGAACUUGGACAAUCAAACGUUGUAUUAGUUUGGUGAAAAGUAAUUGCAUUUUUUUUGCCAUUAAAAGUAAUAACCAAAACUGCGAUUUCUUUUGCACCAACCUGAUACAACUUAAAUGCUAUUGAUUUAGUCACAUUUCCUGAAGCAUGACUCGUAAAUGAAGAUAUUUAAAAAGGCAAUAUUGUUCAUGGAGUGGGAAUCUGGCCUGAGAACAAAAGAGAUUAUUUCUAAGAUGUUUCGAUUCCUGGAGGGAUUUAGACAAAUCAUUUGACUUAUUGGAGACUGAGUCUCCACAUUUUAAAUCAAGACACUGGGGGCUACAGGCAUUCUGAGAUGAUGUCCAGCUCAAAAAUCCAUCUUCUAAAUUCAAAUACUUUACAUUGAAUGAUUUCAUCACAAUCUAUAUUAAUGUAACUGUCCAGAAAUUGGGGUAAUCUCACUAUUUUGUCUUUUUAAAAAAUAAAUGUUUUGACUUUCAGCAGAUUUUGAUCUACAGAAGAAAUCACAGACUCUGUAGAGAACUCAGAGAGUGCUGCUAAAUCUCACUCUUGAGUUCUCCUAGUAAAGAUCUUAUUUACUAUAGCAUAGCCUUUUACAAUUGAAAAACAGUAUUAAUACAUUCUUAUUAACUAAAAUCAAUGUUUUAUUUAGAUAGCUCUAGUUUUUACUUAAUGUCUUUUUUUUUUUUUUGGUCCAGGUUUGCAGCCACAAACCACAUUCCACUUAGUCACCAUGUUUCCUUAGGCACUUCUGGGCUGUGAUAGCUUCUUGGGUUUUCCUUGUUUUUGAUUACUUUAUAGGUUUGAAGAGUAUUGGCCAGGUAUUUUGUAGCAUGUCCUUUACUUGCGAUUUGUCUGAUGUUUAUCUCAUGAUUAGAUUGGGCUGUGAGUUUGAAAAAGGAAGACCACAGGGAUAAAGUGUCAUUUUUAUCACCUUAUAUCAAGUGCAUAUACCAUC